rnacentral:rRNA from 1 species
UAGGGAAUCUUCCGCAAUGGGCGAAAGCCUGACGGAGCAACGCCGCGUGAGUGAUGAAGGUCUUCGGAUCGUAAAACUCUGUUAUUAGGGAAGAACAAAUGUGUAAGUAACUAUGCACGUCUUGACGGAACCUAAUCAGAAAGCCACGGCUAACUACGUGCCAGCAGCCGCGGUAAUACGUAGGUGGCAAGCGUUAUCCGGAAUUAUUGGGCGUAAAGCGCGCGUAGGCGGUUUUUUAAGUCUGAUGUGAAAGCCCACGGCUCAACCGUGGAGGGUCAUUGGAAACUGGAAAACUUGAGUGCAGAAGAGGAAAGUGGAAUUCCAUGUGUAGCGGUGAAAUGCGCAGAGAUAUGGAGGAACACCAGUGGCGAAGGCGACUUUCUGGUCUGUAACUGACGCUGAUGUGCGAAAGCGUGGGGAUCAAACAGG